rnacentral:sRNA from 1 species
UGGCUGAUAUUGCGUAGUUAGAGGCGU